UGCUAAACAUGGCCAGAUGCCUGGAGGU
rnacentral:piRNA from 1 species